AGUGACCUCUUUCGGCGUGCUCCCCCCAUGCAAUGCUAACGAGAACGAAUUAUCGCUUGCUCUCCUUUUCAGCUACGUGGCGCACGGGUCAGUAAUGUACAGGACCUCUUCCUCUUACUGCGGGAUAACAACUGGAAACGUUUGCUCCUACCUUAUACUCCUUCUUAACAUAACUUCCUCAGGGAAAGAUUUAUUGGUAAGAGAUUAGCCUGUAUUGUAUCAGUUAGUUGGUGGGGUAAUGGCUUACCAAGACUAUGACACAUAACUGGUGUGAGAGGAUGAUCAGUCACACUGGAACUGAGACACGGUCCAGACUCCUACGGGAGGCAGCAGUGGGCAAUAUUGCACAAUGGACGAAAGUCUGAUGCAGCAACGCCGCGUGGAGGAUGACACAUUUCGGUGCGUAAACUCCUUUUAUAUGAGAAGAUAAUGACGGUAUUAUAUGAAUAAGCACCGGCUAACUCCGUGCCAGCAGCCGCAGUAA
rnacentral:rRNA from 1 species